UACGUAGGGUGCAAGCGUUGUCCGGAAUUAUUGGGCGUAAAGGGUAGGUAGGUGGUCUUGUUUGUCUAGGGUGAAAUCCCAGGGCUUAACCCUGGAAGUGCCCUAGAAACGGCAAGACUAGAGUUCUAGAGGGGGUCGUGGAAUUCCCGGUGUAGCGGUGAAAUGCGUAGAGAUCGGGAGGAACACCAGCGGCGAAGGCGGCGACCUGGAUAGAUACUGACACUCAACUACGAAAGCGUGGGGAUCAAACAGG
rnacentral:rRNA from 1 species